UACGUAGGGGGCGAGCGUUAUCCGGAAUUACUGGGCGUAAAGCGCACGUAGGCGGCUAUUCAAGUCGGGGGUGAAAGCCCGGGGCUCAACCCCGGAACUGCCCUCGAAACUAGAUAGCUAGAAUCUUGGAGAGGCGAGUGGAAUUCCGAGUGUAGAGGUGAAAUUCGUAGAUAUUCGGAAGAACACCAGUGGCGAAGGCGACUCGCUGGACAAGUAUUGACGCUGAGGUGCGAAAGCGUGGGGAGCAAACAGG
rnacentral:rRNA from 1 species